rfam:Megaselia scalaris, Durham, NC isolate 2 -- Noor lab, WGS project CAQQ02000000 data, contig: ctg0000008750
CAACCGGUUCUUUUCAGAACCACAAAGUAUCUCGGAAAGAAGUAUU